rnacentral:rRNA from 1 species
AUGAUCUUCAACGCCUUCGUGCUCUGCCAGGUGUUCAACGAGUUCAACGCGCGGGAGAUCGAGAAGAAAAACGUGUUCGCCGGGGUGCUCAAGAACAGGAUGUUCCUGGUCAUCAUCGCCGUCACGCUCAUGCUGCAGGUGGUCAUGGUGGAGGUGCUCACCAGGUUCGCCGGCACCAAGAGGCUGGGGCUGGGGCAGUGGGCCGUCUGCCUCGCAAUCGCCGCCGUGUCGUGGCCCAUCGGCUGGGCCGUCAAAUUCAUCCCCGUGCCGGACCGGACUGUCCUCACACGCCAGAAAUCGUCAUGA